GACAAGGCUCAGAGCUGAGCUGUGCGCAGGGCCUCCUUGCCUGUGGCCACCCUCGAGCAAAGCCCUAGAGGACAGAACCCCAACACUGCAGCAGAUAUGAGAUGGAGAAACCAACUAAGUGAGCUAUACCUGCUGCUGUCCUUCACGGUAGCUGGGUGUGAGAAAUACCACAGGUCAGGGGCAGAUGGAGGUCCGGAGAAGUGGAGGGCUGGGACGGGAAGGAGGAGGAGGCAAGACACACAGUCAGACGGCUCCUUAUCAUCCCUUUCCAUCUCAACACGGAGUAAAGAGAUAGGAAUGAAUCCUCCUUAGAGCUGAAGGCCUUCAUUAGAGUCACACAAAGUACUUAAGAAGUAGGGCCGGGCAGUGGUGGCACACACCUUUAAUCCCAGCACUUGGGAGGCAGAGGCAGGCAGAUUUCCGAGUUCGAGGUCAGCUUGGUCUACAAAGUGAGUUCGAGGACA
rnacentral:lncRNA from 1 species